GCACAGAAAAGGGGCCUCACUGUGCAGGGAAUGGAGCAUUCCAUUGAUAUAUACACUGUGGCCUACCAGCCAAGUUUAGCAAGCAAGAAGGAAGUGAACUGACAAAUAGCACACAUUGCCAGUGAUGUGAGUGAGUGACUUCCCUGCUGGACUGGCUGACAGCUCCAGCACUCCAGAGGCAUUCUCCAGUGCUCAGUGUCAUUCACAGCGUGGCAACUACAAAUGUGGCAGCACUGUAGAAUUUAAUCUGCACUGUGACAUUCGUCCCCAUCAACUUCUUCAGUCUAGAUGUGCAAUCAAAGGACACAGCCAUUCUUUGUGGGACCUGCUGAUUCCUUGCUCUGAAACCUCUCUUCUGGGCUGAUCUACAACAUCCUGAGACACAACGUCAGGAAGAGGUACUAAGCAACCCAGCCUAGCAGCACUGCUGGCCGUCACACAGCAUGGCGGGCUUGGCCAUCACACAGCAUGGCAGGACAGCAGGCCAUCACACAGCAGGGCGGGCUUGGCCCUGAUGGCGCUCACACAAGGAGGAAGCUGAAGUCUCUUUGCCACAAUGGGAACCCUUCAACAAACAAGACCUACCCUCUGCAGAAGGCUGCUUAGCGUGUAUCCACGUGUGUUCCGGUGGUUCACCUCUCUGUCACAACGAGAUCCUCACUGUCCUCUGUCAGCCACAUGCUGUCCUCUCCCUGGGAGGAAUUCAGGCAAGUGUAAUUUUCUCUACUUCUGCAC